CUCCGAAGGGUCACUUCCUGCUCCAGGUGUGUUUCCUGCGUUGCUAGGCGACCGGUGUUGUCGUGACGUCAGCUCCUGUAGAAACUGAUCUGAGUUCAGAGUGACGGAUGAUGGAGAGUCUCUGGUCUGUUGAACGAGGACACAGUACAAGUACACAGACUUUAUACUCUUUCCUAAACUUUUCUUUUGACAGUCUCACCUGCAGCGUUGUGGAUCCGGUUUGACAAGCCCCGCCCACCUGCUGCUCUCCAAGCUCAGCGAGGACGAGGACGAGGACGAGGACGGACGAGGACGAGGAAGGUAAAACGAAAAGAGAAACCCGGAGCAGAUGAAGUGUGAUGUGAUUGUGGUCACAUUAGGGAAGUGUUGGUGUCAGAGAGAGCAUCCUGUAACGUCAGCAGACCUCAGCUCUCCGGACGCCGCUGCAGCGUCCUCUACUGGUUCACUGGUGCAUCACACAGCUGCUGCUGGUCAGAGAGAUUCAUCCUCCUCCUCCUCCUGGCCUCAGGCGGAGCGGGUCGCCAUGGUGACAGGCUGCAGGCUGGACGAGGUGGAGGAGG